AAUGAGUGAUGACGAUAUUUUUCGGUCCCAAAUGAUGAUUGAUGAUUUUUGCUUUGAAAUCGUUCUAACUUU
rfam:Xenopus laevis strain J chromosome 1L, whole genome shotgun sequence.